rnacentral:rRNA from 1 species
UAGAGGAAGUAAAAGUCGUAACAAGGUUUCCGUAGGUGAACCUGCGGAAGGAUCAUUAUUGAAAUAAGUCUGAUGAGUUGCUGCUGGUUCUCCAGGGAGCAUGUGCACGCUUGUCAUCUUUAUAUCUCCACCUGUGCACCUUUUGUAGACCUGGAUCUCUCUCUGAAUGCUAGCCAUUUAGGAUUGAGGAUUGACUUUAUGUCUCUCCUUCCAUUUUCAGGUCUAUGUUUCUUCAUAAACCCUAAUGUAUGUCAUAGAAUGUARUUCAUGGCCUUUGUGCCUAUAAACCUAUACAACUUUCAGCAACGGAUCUCUUGGCUCUCGCAUCGAUGAAGAACGCAGCGAAAUGCGAUAAGUAAUGUGAAUUGCAGAAUUCAGUGAAUCAUCGAAUCUUUGAACGCACCUUGCGCUCCUUGGUAUUCCGAGGAGCAUGCCUGUUUGAGUGUCAUUAAUAUAUCAACUUCUUCAGCUUUUGCUUGUUGAAUGUUGGAUGUGGGGGUCUUUUGCUGGUCUUCUCAGGUCAGCUCCCCUGAAAUGCAUUAGCGGAACAAUUUGUGGACCGUUCAUUGGUGUGAUAACUAUCUACGCUAUUGACGUGAAGCAGUUCAGCUUCUAACAGUCUAUUGACWUGGACAAAUUUUCAUUAAUGUGACCUCAAAUCAGGUAGGACUACCCGCUGAACUUAAGCAUAUCAAUAA